CAGAGACACUGUCAUACAGAGACAUACAGACUCAGGCAUAGCGACACAGACAUAAAGACACUCUCAUACAUAGUCAUAAAGAGACAUACAGGCACAGAGAUUCAGAUACAAGCAUACAGAGACAAACAGCCACAGACAUUCAGAUACAGUCAUACAGACACUGACAUACUGUCACAGAUAGAUAGGAUCUAACAAGCAAAGACAUGCACAGCAAAUACUAAAAAACAAAAAGCGUAAUACCAAAACGUAGAAUGGCCGGAUUAAACGCCACUAGAAUAGUACUAGACAAGCCGAGGUCAGGGAUACAGAAGACAGAAUAAACGUUUGGAAUAGCCAAAGGUCAAGGACAAUGGAGAGGAGAAUAGUCAAAGAUAAGCCAUGGUCAAAAUGCCCAAAAAUACAAGAAAUAUGAACGCCAGCAUGAUUCCCAGGCGUGUCGCGUGGAGAGCGGACCCAGCAAGAUGUAUUUUUAUUUUUAGCGUGUCUGCGCUGAUCAGGCCUUCAUGAUGACCGGGC